GGAUGUGAGGGCGAGCUGGCUGCGACAUCUGUCACCCCAUUGAUCGCCAGGGUUGGUUCGGCUGAUCUGGCUGGCUAGGCGGGUGUGCCCUUCCUCCCUCAGUGAUCCAUGUGCGUCCCUCCCGAAGCUGUGCGCUCAGUUGAAGAGGACCACCACCCCCGAUAGAGGAGGACCGUUCCUCGGUCAAGGGUACACAAGUAGCUGCGCUCCCCUGCUAGAACCUCCAAACAAGCUCUCAAGCAAAACUACUUAAGGCUAUUCAUUGCAAAAAUAAAUUGUGUACCUACUAAAUAAAACACCAAGGUACUGCAACCUAUUUUUUU
rnacentral:snRNA from 1 species